rnacentral:rRNA from 1 species
GACAGAGGUGCCGAGCGUUAGGCGGAAUCACUGGGCUUAAAGCGUGUGUAGGCGGGUCGUUAAGUGCCUUGUGAAAUCCCACAGCUCAACUGUGGAACUGCUUGGCAUACUGGCGAUCUUGAGCCAGCUAGAGGCAACCGGAACAAACGGUGGAGCGGUGAAAUGCGUAGAUAUCGUUUGGAACGCCAAUGGUGAAAACAGGUUGCUGGGGCUGCGCUGACGCUGAGACACGAAAGCCAGGGGAGCGAACGGG